AAGAACAAAUCUAGAGUCAUGCUGAGUCAAAUACAUUUGUAUUAUCAGUGUUGAGUACUUGCUAAGAUAAAUUGUGAACAAAAACGAAUACAUGCAAAAUUGUUUUGCUCUUGCGUUAAAGAUUUUUGGGGGAUAGCUAAAAUCAAGCCCAAGGUACAGUAUGUACUUGGGCUUUCUGGAAUUAGUUGGCUCUGCCCCAUUACGUAAGCACUGAAUGCUGAGGUUCCAGACAACCUGGGGGUCCGUGGACAAACGAGGGCCAUUAGCUUGCUAGGCCCUGGAAUGGUAUUGGUCUUGUCCAAUAAGUCACCACCUCACUCAGUUUUAUGGUGUGACUGGAGAGCAGUGAUAAAACUAGCAUUUAUCUGUCAACCUUUCAUCCAAGUGGAUUCACAUCUCAUUUUGAUCAAAAGGACAUAAUGAGAUACAUGCGCAAGCUGGAUAGGUUGGAUAUGCCAUACCAAAUAACAAUAUGGGCCCAAAAGAACAGAAUUGACAUACAGCAUGAACAUAGAUAGAUAGAUAACUAAAAUGACAGAGGUAUACUAUUUUUAACCAGCCACGUUCUCUGCAUAAAUGGUAAUUAUAUCAUAUUAAUUUUCAACCUACCACCUUUUAAAAAGCAAAAAAUAUGGCUUCUGCCCUCGUUCACGUUUGACAGUGGAAAAUAAAUUAUGGUUUGUGUCUUUUGUUCUGUUUGUUUGCUGGUGAACCAGAACAAGUUAACAAGCAGCUCAGCUUUGCAUGUAAUCUAGUUAUAUAACACCAGUAUGGAGCCACACAUCCAUUCAUCCCCCGUGUCACAUAGACAGGGACCUUGAUUCCGCUGGAUGUAUUACACUGCAGAUUUGAAGGUUCAAUUUUGAUUUUAGAGCUUUUUUGGACUUUAUCUUUUCUCAUACAUUUCAAGUGACAUAUGUCAACGGAUGGAAAUUGAAAACUGGUUUCAUAUUUAAUGCGUUUUUUCCUUUUUACGUGGAUCUAAACUGUACUGCUUGUUAUCCCCCCACCC